CCCUGUACUGGGGGACAACAGUUGGAAACGACUGCUAAUACCGCAUAAGCGCACGGGAUCGCAUGAUCGUGUGUGAAAAACUCCGGUGGUACAGGAUGGACCCGCGUCUGAUUAGCUGGUUGGUGAGGUAACGGCCCACCAAGGCAACGAUCAGUAGCCGGCCUGAGAGGGUGAACGGCCACAUUGGGACUGAGACACGGCCCAAACUCCUACGGGAGGCAGCAGUGGGGAAUAUUGCACAAUGGGGGAAACCCUGAUGCAGCGACGCCGCGUGAGUGAAGAAGUAUUUCGGUAUGUAAAGCUCUAUCAGCAGGGAAGAAAAUGACGGUACCUGACUAAGAAGCCCCGGCUAACUACGUGCCAGCAGCCGCGGUAAUACGUAGGGGGCAAGCGUUAUCCGGAUUUACUGGGUGUAAAGGGAGCGUAGACGGCAUGGCAAGUCUGAAGUGAAAUGCGGGGGCUCAACCCCUGAACUGCUUUGGAAACUGUCAGGCUGGAGUGCAGGAGAGGUAAGUGGAAUUCCUAGUGUAGCGGUGAAAUGCGUAGAUAUUAGGAGGAACACCAGUGGCGAAGGCGGCUUACUGGACUGUAACUGACGUUGAGGCUCGAAAGCGUGGGGAGCAAACAGGAUUAGAUACCCUGGUAGUCCACGCCGUAAACGAUGAUUACUAGGU
rnacentral:rRNA from 1 species